UGGUGAAUUUUGGACAAUGGGGGAAACCCUGAUCCAGCCAUCCCGCGUGUGCGAUGAAGGCCUUCGGGUUGUAAAGCACUUUUGGCAGGAAAGAAACGUCAUGGGUUAAUACCCCGUGAAACUGACGGUACCUGCAGAAUAAGCACCGGCUAACUACGUGCCAGCAGCCGCGGUAAUACGUAGGGUGCAAGCGUUAAUCGGAAUUACUGGGCGUAAAGCGUGCGCAGGCGGUUCGGAAAGAAAGAUGUGAAAUCCCAGAGCUCAACUUUGGAACUGCAUUUUUAACUACCGGGCUAGAGUGUGUCAGAGGGAGGUGGAAUUCCGCGUGUAGCAGUGAAAUGCGUAGAUAUGCGGAGGAACACCGAUGGCGAAGGCAGCCUCCUGGGAUAACACUGACGCUCAUGCACGAAAGCGUGGGGAGCAAAC
rnacentral:rRNA from 1 species